UUGACUUCAGCUUCUGAAAUCUU
rnacentral:snRNA from 1 species